GAAAAGGCUUUAUUUAAAGCCAGAGCAUUAUUAUACAAACAUAUAC
rfam:Lepisosteus oculatus linkage group LG14, whole genome shotgun sequence.